rnacentral:rRNA from 1 species
GAUGAACGCUGGCGGCGUGCCUAAUACAUGCAGGUCGAGCGAACAGACGAGGAGCUUGCUCCUCUGACGUUAGCGGCGGACGGGUGAGUAACACGUGGAUAACCUACCUAUAAGACUGGGAUAACUUCGGGAAACCGGAGCUAAUACCGGAUAAUAUAUUGAACCGCAUGGUUCAAUAGUGAAAGACGGUUUUGCUGUCACUUAUAGAUGGAUCCGCGCCGCAUUAGCUAGUUGGUAAGGUAACGGCUUACCAAGGCAACGAUGCGUAGCCGACCUGAGAGGGUGAUCGGCCACACUGGAACUGAGACACGGUCCAGACGCCUACGGGAGGCAGCAGUAGGGAAUCUUCCGCAAUGGGCGAAAGCCUGACGGAGCAACGCCGCGUGAGUGAUGAAGGUCUUCGGAUCGUAAAACUCUGUUAUUAGGGAAGAACAAAUGUGUAAGUAACUAUGCACGUCUUGACGGUACCUAAUCAGAAAGCCACGGCUAACUACGUG